CUUUAAAUCUUUUUAUGAUGAAUCCUUUCAUUUACAGAAUUAAACCUUAGGAAUUAUUACAUAUGUUAAUUCAAUGAAGUGUUACAUUUUUAUAGAAAACUUACCACUGAGUCAAAACAUAAACCUUCAUUUGUGACUUGGAUGGUUACACCCAGAUUCAGGAGGCCAAGAGGUCCUAGAUCUCAUUAGGUACCACCACUAACUUUUCAAUUCUCCAGUUCCAAGGAGGGCUUAAACAACCUUACUCGGGUUUGUUCUGCACACCCAGAAAAGAACACAUAGGAGAACUGAUGUGGUAACUCCGAGUUCAAUGUCUAGAUUGCUUGGGUUCGUAACCCAGCUUAGUUGAUUGGGCA
rnacentral:lncRNA from 1 species